GUGCUCUUUAAAUAUUACAAAAUUUUUUAGAUCGACUGUUUCAGAAUGCUUAUACAGUACCUAACUCGCCUUGAAGACUUGUUUCCCUAAUCUUUUGAGGUAAUAACCAGCAACCCCAAGGCACUUAGAAGUAUGUACUUGAUGAGAGGCUUCUCAGUCAUGAUAAUUGUCACCCAGCCAACAUAAGGCAAGAACCCAAUGGCUCUCCCCAUGAUAUGUU
rnacentral:misc_RNA from 1 species